rnacentral:rRNA from 1 species
GACGAACGCUGGCGGCGUGCUUAACACAUGCAAGUCGAACGGAAUGGCCCUGCUUUUGUGGGGUGCUCGAGUGGCGAACGGGUGAGUAACACGUGAGUAACCUGCCCUUGACUUUGGGAUAACUUCAGGAAACUGGGGCUAAUACCGGAUAGGAGCUCCUGCUGCAUGGUGGGGGUUGGAAAGUUUCGGCGGUUGGGGAUGGACUCGCGGCUUAUCAGCUUGUUGGUGGGGUAGUGGCUUACCAAGGCUUUGACGGGUAGCCGGCCUGAGAGGGUGACCGGCCACAUUGGGACUGAGAUACGGCCCAGACUCCUACGGGAGGCAGCAGUGGGGAAUAUUGCACAAUGGGCGGAAGCCUGAUGCAGCAACGCCGCGUGCGGGAUGACGGCCUUCGUGUUGUAAACCGCUUUCGCCUGUGACGAAGCGUGAGUGACGGUAAUGGGUAAAGAAGCACCGGCUAACUACGUG